rnacentral:rRNA from 1 species
GACGAACGCUGGCGGCGUGCUUAAUACAUGCAAGUAGAACGCUGAAGAGAGGGGCUUGCUCUUCUUGGAUGAGUUGCGAACGGGUGAGUAACGCGUAGGUAACCUGCCUGGUAGCGGGGGAUAACUAUUGGAAACGAUAGCUAAUACCGCAUAAAAUGGAUUAUCGCAUGAUAAUUCAUUGAAAGGUGCAAAUGCAUCACUACCAGAUGGACCUGCGUUGUAUUAGCUAGUUGGUGGGGUAACGGCUCACCAAGGCAACGAUACAUAGCCGACCUGAGAGGGUGAUCGGCCACACUGGGACUGAGACACGGCCCAGACUCCUACGGGAGGCAGCAGUAGGGAAUCUUCGGCAAUGGACGGAAGUCUGACCGAGCAACGCCGCGUGAGUGAAGAAGGUUUUCGGAUCGUAAAGCUCUGUUGUAAGAGAAGAACGAGUGUGAGAGUGGAAAGUUCACACUGUGACGGUAUCUUACCAGAAAGGGACGGCU